CCUACGGGAGGCAGCAGUGGGGAAUAUUGGACAAUGGGCGAAAGCCUGAUCCAGCCAUGCCGCGUGUGUGAAGAAGGCCUUCGGGUUGUAAAGCACUUUCAGUCGGGAAGAAAGCCUUGGGGCUAAUACCCUCGAGGAAGGACAUCACCCACAGAAGAAGCACCGGCUAACUCCGUGCCAGCAGCCGCGGUAAUACGGAGGGUGCGAGCGUUAAUCGGAAUUACUGGGCGUAAAGCGCGCGUAGGCGGUCUGAUAAGCCGGUUGUGAAAGCCCCGGGCUCAACCUGGGAACGGCAUCCGGAACUGUCAGGCUAGAGUGCAGGAGAGGAAGGUAGAAUUCCCGGUGUAGCGGUGAAAUGCGUAGAGAUCGGGAGGAAUACCAGUGGCGAAGGCGGCCUUCUGGACUGACACUGACGCUGAGGUGCGAAAGCGUGGGUAGCAAACAGGAUUAGAUACCCCUGUAGUC
rnacentral:rRNA from 1 species